CCCCCGCCCCUCCUGUGUUAUUAACGGUUCAUUUGCUUUGAGUGGCAUCGUUACGAAGGUUUGGGGGUGCUAAAUAUACCUCCCCAUCUUUCUAUUUUUAAAAGGCUGCAGACGUGACACAAAUUAUGCUCGCAUGACGGGCGCCUCCGAGUUGGCCUAGAGAGGUUGCCGUGGGGACUGUGCAGCAGGAGGGAGUCUGCCUGGCGAGGAUGUCACGUUGCUCUUCAGCCAGGAAACAAACAAACAAAGCAAAAACAUCUAUUCAUCUGGAUUUUAUUCAUUUGUUUUAAAUACAAACAAAAGGAGAGAGGAGACAUGGUUAUUUCUGCAGCAACUAUUUCAAAUGCAACUUAUUCCAUCGCUCCAGGUGUUCCAAUGGUGUUUGUCACCGUAAGACCCACGGGGCUAGUUCCAACCAUUAUACUGUAAGGCUUUCUUUCUUUCCAAAAUUCCCUGCGUUCCUUUAAGGCCCAUUUAGCUGCGGGUUUUGUUUAUUCUCCCAGCAAUCAGCAUUUAAAAUAAGAUAAACAAGCAUUUUUCCUGGUCUGUGAAUCCCCACCGGCCAGCCUCCACCUGCACACCUGAAGUCAAUGGGUCCAAUUGAAUUUCUUGGUAACCCAUAUCCCCUUCAGAGACCGGCUCCCUCCGUAUACCAAGCUGGAAAUAGAGAGCUUAAGCAGGGCAAAUGUAAUUUUAAGAAUUGCUAAUGAUGCUAGGAAUCUGCAGUGCAAUUAGCAUCAUUGAAUUUGGCGCUCCUCCGAAGGCACAGAACUCCUUGCCAUCCUGCAGUGGCAGCAGCGGCAAGUGCCUCCUCGCAUGCCUGGGCGGCCGGGGGUGCUGGCAGCCGCUUUG
rnacentral:lncRNA from 1 species